rnacentral:rRNA from 1 species
UACGGAGGGGGCAAGCGUUAUUCGGAAUUAUUGGGCGUAAAGGGCGCGUAGGCGGCUAGAUGUGUCAAAGGUGAAAUCCCUCGGCUCAACUGAGGAACUGCCUUUGAAACUGUCUGGCUUGAGGCCGGGAGAGGGUAGCGGAAUUCCCAGUGUAGCGGUGAAAUGCGUAGAUAUUGGGAGGAACACCAGUGGCGAAGGCGACUGCCUGGACCAGCACUGACACUGAGGCACGAAAGCGUGGGGAGCAAACAGG